rnacentral:rRNA from 1 species
CGCCCGCCGCGCGCGGCGGGCGGGGCGGGGGCACGGGGGGCGUACGGGAGGCAGCAGUGAGGAAUAUUGCGCAAUGGGGGCAACCCUGACGCAGCGACGCCGCGUGGAUGAUGAAGGCCUUCGGGUCGUAAAAUCCUGUCAGAUGGGAAGAAGUGCAUGGUGGCUAAUACCCGCCAUGUUUGACGGUACCAUCAGAGGAAGCACCGGCUAACUCCGUGCCAGCAGCCGCGGUAAUACGGAGGGUGCAAGCGUUGUUCGGAAUUACUGGGCGUAAAGCGCGCGUACGCGGUUUGUUAAGUCAGAUGUGAAGGCNCAGGGCUUAACCUUGGACGUGCAUUUGAAACUGGCAGACUUGAGUAUUGGAGGGGGUGGUGGAAUUCCCGGUGUAGAGGUGAAAUUCGUAGAUAUCGGGAGGAAUACCGGUGGCGAAGGCGACCACCUGGCCAAAUACUGACGCUGAGGUGCAAAAGCGUGGGGAGCAAACAGGAUUAGAUACCCUGGUAGUCCACGCCGUAAACGAUGAGAACUAGGUGUUGGGACGGUUGAUCGUUUCAUUGCCGCAGCUAACGCAUUAAGUUCUCCGCCUGGGGAGUACGGUCGCAAGAUUAAAACUCGAAGGAAUUGACGGGG